CAAGAUGUAGCUUAACAAAAUAAAGCACCCGGCUUACACCCGGAAGAUUUCACCUCAUGAACAUUUUGA
rnacentral:tRNA from 1 species